rnacentral:lncRNA from 1 species
CAUCUACCUGGGGCCUGCAUUGCUGUCCCGUGCGCUCCUGCCUGUCUCCCAGGUGAUGCCUACCUCUCCUUCAAACAGAGGCCCUCAGCCUCGCAGCUCAGACACGGGGCAGGCGCUUCUCCUCCUUGUGUUAACAGCAACACUGGAUAAUCAAAAGAAUCAUCUCCUCAAGAAGCAACUGACUCCUGGCAUUGAGUGUUAUGUUUGUAAGCCUAUGGUGUCUCACAGGGGGCAGUGUCACCCAUGAGAGUAUAGUACCAGCCUGACUCAGUCAUGAACCUCAUGAGCCACAGUUACAUUGGCCUGGCAAGACCUGUUCACUGGUCCAAUAGUGGCACCAAUGUCAUAGCAGUAACCCACUACUUUCCAAUUGGACUUAAGGCCUGCCACACAAGCUGAAACCUACAGUUAGCACCAUCACUAAAACCAGAACUCAUGUCUGGAAAGGUCAAAGACCCUAAAGGAGAAACUACUGCUUUUACUGUUAAGUGGGCAGACUAUUAAACUAACCAAUAACUUAUCAUUAUAUUCAUAGACUAUCGGUCAAUUCUCAUCAAAGAUUCUUUCUGAAGUAGAUGGUAACUGAUACACAGACUCAAAAUGUAGAAAAUACGAGCCUGAAAAAUGCGGACCCCUGAAUGGGACAUUAUAUUAUACACUUAAGGCUCAGGGAUCGUUGUAAAAGAGGGGGGGUGGGGAAGAUUUGAGAGCCACAGACAGUGAAUGACCACACGGCAGUUGAACAUGAAUCCAGUUCAUGGCAGUUGUGAAUGAACAAGACCUGCAUAGACUCGAGCCAGACAGCAUCUCAACAGGAGAGGAGGAGGUGUGCAAAGCAAACUUCCAAUGCAGUGUGUGUUCAAGUGUCCCAUGUUUUCAUUCUAAAGAACAAAACCAAGACCGCUAAAACAACAGAAAUGACUGGUCCCACGAACAUCCUAUUAACUGUAGAACAUACAUGAAAUAAUGCACAUGCUCAUCUUGUAUCAGCUACAGACAAUGGGCAAUAAAGUCUGUCUUUAUU